GCACUGCUGAGGAGUCCCAAAAUGGGACGAACCGGCCGUCCAGUAC
rfam:Schistosoma margrebowiei strain Zambia genome assembly, scaffold: SMRZ_contig0001168